GCCGGGUUGGUGGAACAGGCAGACACAGCGGAUUCAAAAUCCGCCGCCUUUGGCGUAUGGGUUCAAAUCCCAUAUCCGGCA
rnacentral:tRNA from 1 species